CGAUCCGUGGUGGUCCGUUACUCAUCUCCAAAUUUCUUGCUAGGAUCAAAUCCAUGGAAAGAAGAAGUUCAAGAAAGUUGUGGGAAACUAUGGCAAUUAUGGAUUUGGAUGAAUUGAUCCAAGAUUUUACUUACCCAGAUAGUUAAUUAUCAAGGUAAUUCUCAAUUUUCAUCUUUCCUUCAAACCCUAUUUACCUUUACAUGUAUUAGAUCAAAAGUUCAUGUCUUUUGACCAAAAUUCACUUGAAUUAAGUCAAUUCGUUGAUAAAUGAUGAUAAAGAUGCCGAAUUUCUUCAUGGGUAUCUUUUCUUUUCACUAAUUCUCAGUUGAAUUGCGAGAAAUAUAACUAAGAACUCCAAAAUGAUAUUUUUACUGCAGGCAUAGAAUUUUACUGGGUUUUACUUAAAUUUCAGUGAAAUUAAUCAAAGUGGUGAAAACUGAGCUAAUUUUGCAGGGAAGAUUCCCUGACUUUCUCACUUUCUCUCUUUCUCUCUCACACAGUAGACACACACACACGAGUAUAUAACUCAGAGUUCAUCUUAUUUGCCUUCUGUAUCUGCUUUUUAAUCUGAUUCCCUCCAUUUCCGUGGAAAAGGUUAAACUUUGUCUCCGUUAGGAAGUAAAAAAAACAAUUUUACCCCUGUUCAGUCCCCACUUCAACUCUUAUACAUCUAAAAAAGAUUGUUUCAUCUUCUCAUCAUCAGCUUAGUAUUCCUCUUUUAGCCCAUUAAUCCAUACCCACAAAAAAAGUACUUUUUUUGUCUGAAUUUUGAUGUCAUCUUUGAUGAUAAAAUGUAAGUGAUAUGUCUGGUUUGUGAUUAUGUAACUGUUGUCUUUCAUUUUUAUUAUUAUUGUAAUAUUAAAUGAACCGUUACAACCAACAAAGUCAUGAUAUAUUAACCUUUUUGAAAAGAAAAGAAACUUUCAUUAUGGGCAAGUGGUUCCUACAAAAAAAAAGGUGUUAUCUUAUCAUGAAAAACUUUCAAAUUAAUUGACUCAUGGUUUUCCAACAAACUCCUAACAACUUGAAGAUCAUGUCUUGAUUUUGGUUCUUUUAAUAUCAUAAUUGACAUAAAUAUGCAAUUGCUUGUGAUAAGGGAGAUGGUUGUUGAAGCUCUUUUUGUGUACUUUAAUGAUCUUUUGAUUAAAUGAUGGUUUAAUUUGAUAGUUUGGUAGAGUUGUUGUUAUAACUAGAUUGUAUUUGAUUUUGGGUUUCAACCCAAAGGAAAAAAAGUGUGAAUUAUGUGUGUUGAAUUUUUAAUUAAUUAAUGGGUGAGACAAUGAGUUAUGGUCGAUUCACUUAUCAUGUAGGUUGCCAAUGCUGUCAUUUCAAACCUAUACUUUUUUAUCCAAAUCUCACUCACUCACUUUUGUUUUUUUUUAAAUAAAGAUAUCACAAAUAUGUAUAAAGUGAGAGGUCCGGAAUCAACACCAAACACUAGAUCCUAAAAAUCAGAAUAGAUCAACGUGUGCAACCAAAAAAAAUGAUAAUAAUAAUAAUAAUAUCGAGAUCAAGAUUCAAAGGACUGAAAAGUUAUAUCUCAUGGUAAAAGACUCAAAGCUCCAAACCAUCUUCAUCAUGUUGAUGUGGGUUCUUGAAGAUAUAUUCAAGUUAAUCUUAGUUCAUCGAGAACUUUGAUAUAGGAUUUUGAAGUGUUGUUUUGGUUUAUUUUCACUUAUACUAGCUCAAUUGACUAUAGUUAAUAGUUGAUCAUGUAAUUUGUACUACUUUGAUUUGUUUUUAUGGCAAUUAAUACAACUUUUCGUGUUGAUACAUUCAUCAAUGAAAAUGUAAUCAUUUUUUAA